rnacentral:lncRNA from 1 species
AGUCAUUUUGCUGGCCCGAACAUAGCCACCUGUAAGCUGGAACUUCCUUACGGCAGCCUGUCACUUCCACGGGACCCACCAGCUUAAAUGCCGGCAGCCCUGGGACUUCUGGCCUCACAAUGGUUGAGAUGACUGGGGUGUGGCAGUGCCAAGCCGAGGCUGUGAAAGGCCUUCCACCUUUACUCUCGUGCUCGUGCCCUCCCCCAUUGUUAGGAGAAGGGCAUGCUCAGGCCAGCCCAUUAGCCCAGGAGGAGGACAAGAAACACACGGAGCAGACACAAGCCACCUCACCAACCCAGCCAAGGCUGUCCUGAAUUAGCAACCCUGACACGUGUGAGCAAGUCCAACGGACACCGGAAGAUCCACCUAGUCAAGCCCAACCAAGACUGGCAGAGCUGCCAAGCUGACCACUUAAGGCGCAUGAGGAAUAAACACUCGUUGCUGCAUGCCAUUGCAGUUUUGUGAUUUUUGUUAUGCAGCA